rnacentral:rRNA from 1 species
AGAGUUUGAUCAUGGCUCAGGACGAACGCUGGCGGCGUGCCUAACACAUGCAAGUCACGGGGGGUAGCAAUACCAACCGGCGAACGGGUGCGGAACACGUGAGCAAUCUGCCGAUUACUGGGGGAUAGCCGGGCCAACGCCCGGGUAAUACCGCAUACGCUCAAGAGGGGACAUCCCCAUUUGAGGAAACCUCCGGGGGUAAUCGAGGAGCUCGCGUCUUAUCAGCUAGUUGGCGGGGUAACGGCCCACCAAGGCUACGACGGGUAGCUGGUCUGAGAGGAUGGCCAGCCACAUUGGGACUGCGACACGGCCCAGACUCCUACGGGAGGCAGCAGUGGGGAAUAUUGCGCAAUGGACGAAAGUCUGACGCAGCGACGCCGCGUGUGGGAUGAAGCUCUUCGGGGUGUAAACCACUGUUGCCCGGGACGAAUCUCUGGUUUCGACCAGAUUGACGGUACCGGGUGAGGAAGCACCGGCUAACUCUGUGCCAGCAGCCGCGGUAAUACAGAGGGUGCGAGCGUUGUCCGGAAUCACUGGGCGUAAAGGGCGCGUAGGUGGCUUGCUAAGCGUGUGGUGAAAGCCUGGGGCUCAACCCCAGGUCUGCCGUGCGAACUGGCAAGCUUGAGCAUAGUAGAGGCAGGUGGAAUUUCGGGUGUAGCGGUGGAAUGCGUAGAUAUCCGAAAGAACACCGGUGGCGAAGGCGGCCUGCUGGGCUAUUGCUGACACUGAGGCGCGACAGCGUGGGGAGCAAACAGGAUUAGAUACCCUGGUAGUCCACGCCGUAAACGAUGGGUACUAGGCGUCUGGGGGAGCGACCCCCUGGGUGCCGGCGCUAACGCAUGAAGUACCCCGCCUGGGGAGUACGGCCGCAAGGCUGAAACUCAAAGGAAUUGACGG